CAGUCGCCGCGGUAACACGUAGGUGGCAAGCGUUGUCCGGAAUUAUUGGGCGUAAAGGGCUCGCAGGCGGUUUCUUAAGUCUGAUGUGAAAGCCCCCGGCUCAACCGGGGAGGGUCAUUGGAAACUGGGAAACUUGAGUGCAGAAGAGGAGAGUGGAAUUCCACGUGUAGUGGUGAAAUGCGUAGAGAUGUGGAGGAACACCAGUGGCGAAGGCGACUCUCUGGUCUGUAACUGACGCUGAGGAGCGAAAGCGUGGGGAGCGAACAGGAUUAGAUACCCGCGUAGUCCCUGUCUCUUAUAC
rnacentral:rRNA from 1 species